CGUAGCACGGGGCCUGGUGCGGCGGUGAUGCUGAGGUCCCGGGCGUUGUUCGGUGUCACUGGGCUGAAAGGGUGCGCAGGUGGGAUGGCAAGUGUGAGGGGAAAUCUCCGGGCUCAACCCGGAAAAGGCAUUGAAUACUGUCGUGCUGGAGGUUUGGAGGGGGGACUGGAAUUCUCGGUGUAGCAGUGAAAUGCGUAGAUAUCGAGAGGAACACCAGUGGCGAAGGCGAGUCCCUGGACAACACCUGACACUGAGGCACGAAAGCUAGGGGAGCAAACAGGAUUAGAUACCCGGGUAGUC
rnacentral:rRNA from 1 species